rnacentral:rRNA from 1 species
CCUACGGGUGGCAGCAGUGGGGAAUAUUGCACAAUGGGGGAAACCCUGAUGCAGCGACGCCGCGUGAGGGAUGAAGUAUUUCGGUAUGUAAAGCCCUAUUGGCAGGGAAGAAAAUGACGGUACCUGACGAAUAAGCCCCGGCUAACUCCGUGCCAGCAGCCGCGGUAAUACGGAGGGUGCAAGCGUUACCCGGAUUUACUGGGGGUAAAGGGCGCGUAGGCGGGAUAGCAAGUCAGAUGUGAAAUCCCAGGGCUUAACCCUAGAACUGCAUUUGAAACUGUUAGUCUAGAGUGUGGGAGAGGUAGGUGGAAUUCGUGGUGUAGCGGUGAAAUGCGUAGAUAUCACGAAGAACACUGAUUGCGAAGGCGGCCUGCUGGAUCAUAACUGACGCUGAGGCGCGAAAGCGUGGGGAGCAAACAGGAUUAGAUACCCGGGUAGUC